rnacentral:rRNA from 1 species
AAGCCAUGCAUGUCUAAGUAUAAGCAACUUAUACCGUGAAACUGCGAAUGGCUCAUUAAAUCAGUUAUCGUUUAUUUGAUAGUACCUUACUACUUGGAUAACCGUGGUAAUUCUAGAGCUAAUACAUGCUAAAAACCCCAACUUCGGGAGGGGUGUAUUUAUUAGAUAAAAAACCAAUGCCCUUCGGGGCUCCUUGGUGAAUCAUAAUAACUUAACGGAUCGCAUGGCCUUGCGCCGGCGACGGUUCAUUCAAAUUUCUGCCCUAUCAACUUUCGAUUGUAGGGUAUUGGCCUACAAUGGUAUCAACGGGUAACGGGGAAUUAGGGUUCGAUUCCGGAGAGGGAGCCUGAGAAACGGCUACCACAUCCAAGGAAGGCAGCAGGCGCGCAAAUUACCCAAUCCCGACGCGGGGAGGUAGUGACAAUAAAUACUGAUACAGGGCUCUUUUGGGUCUUGUAAUUGGAAUGAGUACAAUUUAAAUCCCUUAACGAGGAACAAUUGGAGGGCAAGUCUGGUGCCAGCAGCCGCGGUAAUUCCAGCUCCAAUAGCGUAUAUUAAAGUUGUUGCAGUUAAAAAGCUCGUAGUUGAACCUUGGGCCUGGCUGGCCGGUCCGCCUCACCGCGUGCACUGGUCCGGCCGGGCCUUUCCUUCUGGAGAGCCGCAUGCCCUUCACUGGGUGUGUCGGGGAACCAGGACUUUUACUUUGAAAAAAUUAGAGUGUUCAAAGCAGGCCUUUGCUCGAAUACAUUAGCAUGGAAUAAUAGAAUAGGACGUGCGGUCCUAUUUUGUUGGUUUCUAGGACCGCCGUAAUGAUUAAUAGGGAUAGUCGGGGGCAUCAGUAUUCAAUUGUCAGAGGUGAAAUUCUUGGAUUUAUUGAAGACUAACUACUGCGAAAGCAUUUGCCAAGGAUGUUUUCAUUAAUCAGUGAACGAAAGUUAGGGGAUCGAAGACGAUCAGAUACCGUCGUAGUCUUAACCGUAAACUAUGCCGACUAGGGAUCGGGCGAUGUUAUUAUUUUGACUCGCUCGGCACCUUACGAGAAAUCAAAGUUUUUGGGUUCUGGGGGGAGUAUGGUCGCAAGGCUGAA